rnacentral:rRNA from 1 species
UACGAAGGGUGCAAACGUUGCUCGGAAUUAUUGGGCGUAAAGCGCACGUAGGCGGCUUAGCAAGUCGGAAGUGAAAUCCCUCGGCUCAACCAAGGAAGUGCUUUCGAAACUGCUGAGCUUGAGUACUUAAGAGGAUCGCGGAAUUCCCGGUGUAGAGGUGAAAUUCGUAGAUAUCGGGAGGAACACCAGUGGCGAAGGCGGCGUCUGGGAAGAUACUGACGCUGAGGUGCGAAAGCGUGGGGAGCAAACAGGG